CCUAGACAUGGAUCUGUCCGAAGUACUUGACUACAUUCAGGGAUGGAUCUUCCCUUGGUAUGGAGAUGGAUCUUCAACAUGAGGCUGGAUUGGCAUGUUUCCUCGGUACUAGGUGCCUUAUAGUCAGUAAUGUAUAUAUUCUGGGAUAGAUCUUCCCUUGGCCAUAUGGGCCAUAUAUAAUACCGAGUGGUUGAUUAUGAUGAGUGGAAGAUCCCGGAUACCAAUGUUGCUGCAUUCGAUGGUUGCUGGAUUUGAAGGUGUACCUGCAUCCUUGAUGUAGCUGCCUCUUGUUCAUGUUUCGAGCCAUUCGAAGGUCGGAACAUGCGUGAUGGGAUUCUUGGAGCAUCGCUUGGCUUGCUCAGUAUCGGAAUUGGCUUGUUUAAGAUAAGUAACUCUUCUAAAAUUAGUG